UAGUCCACGCCGUAAACGAUGUGUGCUAGCCGUUUGGGGCCUCUGGUCUCGGUGGCGCAGCUAACGCGAUAAGCGACACCGCCUGGGGAGUACGGCCGCAAGGUUAAAACUCAAAGGAAGUUGACGGGGGCCCGCACAAGCGGUGGAGCAUGUGGUUUAAUUCGAAGCAACGCGCAGAACCUUACCAGCCCUUGACAUGGGCGUCGCGGAUCCGGGAGACCGGGUCUUUCAGUUCGGCUGGACGCCACACAGGUGCUGCAUGGCUGUCGUCAGCUCGUGUCGUGACGAUGUUGGGUUAAGUCCCGCAACGAGCGCAACCCUCGCCCUUAGUUGCCAUCGGGUUCGGCCGGGCACUCUAGGGGAACGUGCCGGUGACAAGCCGGAGGAAGGCGGGGAUGACGUCAAGUCCUCAUGGCCCUUAUGGGCUGGGCUACACACGUGCUACAAUGGCGGUGACAGAGGGCAGCAAGGGGCGACCUGGAGCCAAUCCCCAAAAGCCGUACUCAGUUCGGAUUGCACU
rnacentral:rRNA from 1 species